rnacentral:rRNA from 1 species
GACGUAGGGGGCCAGCGUUGUUCGGAAUUACUGGGUGUAAAGGGUUCGUAGGCGGUGUGGCAAGUCGGGAGUGAAAUCUCUGGGCUCAACCCAGAGACUGCUUCCGAAACUGCUGUGCUUGAGUGUGAGAGAGGCUCGUGGAAUUGCAGGUGUAGCGGUGAAAUGUGUAGAUAUCUGCAGGAACACCCGUGGCGAAAGCGGCGAGCUGGAUCACUACUGACGCUGAGGAACGAAAGCUAGGGGAGCAAACAGG